GGUAAUUAAUGGCUUAGGAAAUAAGAAGGGCAGAAGAUAUGGGGGACAAGGGAGGAGGUUUGCUCUGGCCUUGCGUUACCAUAGUCCUAAGGCGUGUAGGUUUUAAAGCUCUACUUUUUCACUCCCCAGCAGUUCCAAUAUUCAUCUUUGGCUAAGGCAAACUUCCAUCCAAGCAGGCUGGAGCAAAAAAACUCACAGUCCUGAGGAAGAGCAGACACCACGUCGAAGGAAGAGACUCUGUGGCAUGCAUUUGAUGCAGUGACCGUCAGAGAAUCUCUCCAUUUUGACCCGGUGUAGCCGUUUCAAAUAACUCCCUGUUUCAGAUGACUCCCCCAGUCAGAUGAAACUAAAUUCAGUCGACUCCUCGUCACUUGAAACUAGUUUCAGGCAACUCCUCACCCGUUUGAAAUGACUCCACCAUCAAACAAUCAAAUGAACCUAGUUUGAAAUGAAUCCACAUUCGAAUAAACUUACUUUGCAGUGAAUCUGAAAUAAAGUUAACAAGGCUUGUGUUGACUUGUUAUUUGUCAGUGUCUACAGAGCCACCAUGGAGUUCGCUAGUGAAAUGGAUGAGGUGGAAGAAUUUUUGCGGUCAAAAAAAUACCCAGUGCAUUCUAGAAACGAUAAGGAGAAUAAGGCGAAUUUUCGAAGGAAGUGUUGGGCAUUUGUUAUCCAAGACGACUGUCUAAAAUUUGUCCAUAAACCAAACAGGAAAGAUAUAACUGGGAAAUGGAUUAGUUGAGCGUAGCAACCGAACUGUUCAAAAUCUCCUUCGAACUCCGAGUGAUCGACAUGAAAACUGGGACAAAUGUUUGCACGGUAUCUUAUUUGCACUGAGAUCUACAGUCCAGGCCUCCACGAAGUUUUCACCCUUCAAGAUGCUGUACGGUCGUGAACCUGUCCUUCCUCUUGAUGUGGACCAUGAGCUAGCUGAUUGUACUCUGAAUCUAGACGAUCCUGAAUUUGAGGAGUCGGACUUCCAUGCAACACUCUCAAAGCUCGAAAUAUUAUAGGUAAUAUCUUUAAUGCAAAAGUUAUCCUAAACUGUAUAUAUUUAAUCUAGGUUUAUUUACGUUUCGCCCACCAAGGACUUCUUCAGAAUAACAGUCAUAUUUGUAUCUAUAUAUCAUAUUUAAGGAUAUUGUUUUUGAGUACUGUAUCAAAGAAUUUUCCUUUAAACCUUUGAA